rnacentral:rRNA from 1 species
UGCCUACGGGAGGCAGCAGUGGGGAAUAUUGCACAAUGGGGGAAACCCUGAUGCAGCGACGCCGCGUGAGUGAAGAAGGUCUUCGGAUUGUAAAGUUCUUUAAUUGGGGACGAAAAAAAUGACGGUACCCAAGGAAUAAGCCCCGGCUAACUACGUGCCAGCAGCCGCGGUAAUACGUAGGGGGCAAGCGUUGUUCGGAAUGACUGGGCGUAAAGGGUGCGUAGGCGGUGUAGCAAGUUAGAAGUGAAAUACCUAGAGCUUAACUCAGGUGCUGCUUCUAAAACUGCUAUACUUGAGUGCAGUAG